GGCAACAGUUUGUGGUGUAGUGGUUAUCACGUGUCGUUCACAUUCAGCUGAACAAUUGUCUCCCGACAAGGUCCCCGGUUCGAUCCCGGGCAAAGUCA